ensembl:lncRNA
AGGAGGGGGCGGGCUGGGGGGAGGGGGGGCCCGACAGCGCUGUCCGCUCUCCCUCCGUGUCAGGUGAUCUGGAGCUAGGAGCCGAGCCCAACCGAGCGCUGUAGCUGCCGCUGCUGAAGGAAAAUGCAAAAUGGCACAUUGGGGAUGUGAGGGAUUCUGCCACUGGCUUGCUCGGCCCAGACCCUUCGCAUCCUCUCUCCGCAGUUCGCGGGCAGGCAUGCUGCUGUAGGUCCCUGCCGGGUUACCCCCCCGGUACCCUAGCCAAAGUGGUGGUGAUUCGGCAGCGACUGCUGCCGGAGCGGGGGGGGGGGGGGGAGCGACGAGAGAAGGUGUUUCCUCUCGGCUCCCCCCCACCCCGACUCCCCCUCCCCUGCCUCCUCCUCCUCCUCCUCCUCUUCUCCCUCCCCUCCCCCUCCCCUGCCUCCUCCCCCUCUUCUGCCUUCUCCUCCUCCUCCUCUACCUCCUCCUCCUCCUCUGGUUCCCCACACCCGCUCCUUAGUGAAACAUGGGACUGUGCUACAGUCUGCGGCCACGGCUCUUUGGGGAUCCCAGCGGCUCCACUUCCAACGCCACGACCUCGGAAUCGGAGCCACCACCACCACAGCAGCAGCAACAGCUGCCCCAGCAGCAACUGGACCGCACCGCCCUGCCAGCACUAAGCUCCGGGGAGCUUCGCCGUCCCGGGGACUCGCGGACAGCGGCUGCAACCAGGGCUGGGGGUGAAGGCAGCGGUGGUAGCAGCAACGGUGGAGGCUGCGUGGGGGAGGCGCCGGUGUCAACAGCAGCUGCAGGGUCGCUCCGCCGCGGGGACGUAGCGGGCAAGCAGCUGUGCGCUGGGGACCGGGACGGAGCGCUAGUCCUGCAGAACGGUGGUGGUGGCGGCGGCAGCACUGGGAAUGGGGCGGCGGAGCGACCGCAGAAGCAGUCGCAGCAGUCCAAACAGCAGCCGACCAAGCAGCAGCAGCCGACCAAGCAGCAGCAGCAGUCGAAGCAGCAGCAGCAGCAGUCGAAGCAGCAACAGCAGAAGCAGCAGCAGCAGCAGAAGCAUGGCAAGCAGAAGCAGCAGCCCCUCAAGCAGCACUGGGACAAGCUGCGAGUGGAGGAACGCGAGGCCGAGAGGGAAGCGAAGAAAGUGAGCAAGAGCAUCGACCGGGCGCUCAAGGAGCAGAAGAGGGAGUACAAACAGACUCACCGACUUCUCCUACUGGAACAAGCAACCUUCUUAGGAGAGCUUUGGAGAUGCUUCUUCUUUCUGGAUCUGGAUCGUAACACAAACUCAAUGUAAAAUAGAGCUAUAAGAAAAUCAUUAGGACUUCUGCUUCCGGGAGCCAAGAUGGUGGAGUAAGAGGUGAGUAUCUCUUAAUCUCCCUUAUUAACCCCUGAAAGCCCAGAAAAUAUCACCCCAGGAAAAACCCUGGAACAGCUGAACCAGAAGAAAAUGGGAUGCAGCAAUCCAAUAGCCCAGGCAGCUUGAGGGAUUAAUUGGAAAGGCCCCUCAUAUGCUGGGGGAAGGAGAGAAGUACAGAACAGGAGGCAUCCCAGCAAGCUAGUGGAAAUCCCCACCUCAACAUACCAGGAGGAGAUCCUGAAGCCCAGGUGGUGGAGCAAGCAAACACCAACACCUGGACCUCCGAGUGCCUCAUUGAGGGAGGGGGACCCAGUGGAAACUAACUUAGAAAACCACCAGGUGCCUUGGCAUUCUACAGCAACAGCUCUCCCAGUGCCUCUGCAAAACUAAGGGAAGCAGCACUCCAAGGGGCCCCAGGCAGAUAAACAUCCUGGAACAUCCAUCUGAAAGGAGAUGAAGAAAGUGAAAGAAAAGGAAAAGCAGGUAACCUCCAGGGGCCAGACUACCCAAUCUUACCCCUAGAGUUCCAGUGUUGCUGAUUCCAGCUGAACACCAGGUAAGCUGCCAGAACCCUACAGCCUCUAACUGCCAGCACUGGAGGCCCCAGCACACAAAGUGACCAGACCCUAGGCUCCCAACACAAGAAGCUUGGGUCAGUGCCCUCUGUUCUCCAGCAGGAGAGUUCAAUCUCUUUAAAGGCCAGGAAAUAAGCAAACACCAUGAACAAAAAAGAAACAUGUGAUAGAUUCUUAUCAUGAGAUGAGUGAAGAUCAAGGCAGAAAUUCUGAAAAGGACAAUAUUGUCAACAAACCCACGCCUGGAACCUCAAAAGGGAAUAUGAACUGGUCUGAAGCCCAAAAAGCCUUCUUAGAACAGCUCAAGAAGGAUUUUAAAAGUCAAAUGAGAGAGGUAGAAGAAAAAAAUGGGAAAAGAAAUGAGAGGUAUGCAAGAGAGAGUCAAUAGCUUGGAAAAGGAAGGACAAAAAUUAACUGCAGAAAACAAGUCCUUAAAAAAUACAAUUGGCCAAAUGGGGAAGGAGGUACAAAAUCUAACAGAAGAAAACAAUUUGUUAAAAAUUAGAAUUGAGCAAAUGGAAGCUAUUGAGUCUAUGAGAGAGCAAGAAUCAGUCAAACAAAAACAAAAGAAUAAAAAAAAUAGAUGAAAAUGUAAAAUAUCUCA